GCCCCGGUGGUGAAAUGGAUAUCACAACUGACUUCGGAUCAGUUAUUCUGGGUUCGAGUCCUGGCCGGGGCA
rnacentral:tRNA from 1 species